AUCUACGGGAGGCAGCAGUGGGGAAUAUUGCACAAUGGGCGAAAGCCUGAUGCAGCUAUACCGCGUGUAUGAAGAAGGCCUUAGGGUUGUAAAGUACUUUCGUUGGGGAGGAAAAAUAAAUAGAUAAUACCUGUUUAUCGUGACGUUACCCAAAAAAGAAGCACCGGCUAACUCCGUGCCAGCAGCCGCGGUAAUACGGAGGGUGCGAGCGUUAAUCAGAAUUACUGGGCGUAAAGAGCUCGUAGGCGGUUGUUUAAGUCAGAUGUGAAAUCCCUGGGCUUAACCUAGGAACUGCAUUUGAAACUAAAAGACUAGAGUAUCGUAGAGGGAGGUAGAAUUCUAGGUGUAGCGGUGAAAUGCGUAGAUAUCUGGAGGAAUACCUGUGGCGAAAGCGGCCUCCUAAACGAAUACUGACGCUGAGGUGCGAAAGCAUGGGGAGCAAACAGGAUUAGAUACCCUGGUAGUCCAUGCCGUAAACGAUGUCGACUUGGAGGUUGUUUCCUUGAGAAGUGACUUCCGAAGCUAACGCGUUAAGUCGACCGCCUGGGGAGUACGGUCGCAAGGCUAAAACUCAAAUGAAUUGACGGGGGCCCGCACAAGCGGUGGAGCAUGUGGUUUAAUUCGAUGCAACGCGAAAAACCUUACCUGGUCUUGACAUCCACAGAAUUUUUCAGAGAUGAAAAAGUGCCUUAGGGAACUGUGAGACAGGUGCUGCAUGGCUGUCGUCAGCUCGUGUUGUGAAAUGUUGGGUUAAGUCCCGCAACGAGCGCAACCCUUAUCCUCUGUUGCCAUUGGUUCGGCCAGGAACUCAGAGGAGACUGCCGGUUAUAAACCGGAGGAAGGCGGGGACGACGUCAAGUCAUCAUGGCCCUUACGACCAGGGCUACACACGUGCUACAAUGGUGUAUACAAAGAGAAGCAACUCUGCAAAGACAAGCAAACCUCAUAAAGUACAUCGUAGUCCGGACUGGAGUCUGCAACUCGACUCACA
rnacentral:rRNA from 2 species